UACAGAGGGGGCGAGCGUUGUUCGGAAUUACUGGGCGUAAAGGGCGCGUAGGCGGCCUGCUAAGUCGAACGUGAAAUCCCUGGGCUCAACCCAGGAACUGCAUCCGAAACUGCCUUGCUCGAGUAUGGGAGAGGGAAGUGGAAUUUCCGGUGUAGCGGUGAAAUGCGUAGAUAUCGGAAGGAACAUCAGUGGCGAAGGCGACUUCCUGGACCAAUACUGACGCUCAGGUGCGAAAGCGUGGGGAGCAAACAGG
rnacentral:rRNA from 1 species